rnacentral:rRNA from 1 species
UACGUAGGGUGCGAGCGUUAAUCGGAAUUACUGGGCGUAAAGCGUGCGCAGGCGGUUGUGCAAGACAGAUGUGAAAUCCCCGGGCUCAACCUGGGAACUGCAUUUGUGACUGCACGGCUGGAGUGUGUCAGAGGGAGGUGGAAUUCCGCGUGUAGCAGUGAAAUGCGUAGAGAUCCGGAGGAACACCAGUGGCGAAGGCGACACGCUGGGCCAUACCUGACGCUAAAGCGCGACAGCAUGGGGAGCAAACGGG